AGGUGUGGGGGUUUGUGGAAGCUGUAGGAGCUGAUUUGGAAUUUUGGGGUGAUUUCGUUUCUAGGUUUUGGAACAAACAAAUGGGCAUGAAGAAGACAUUCAUUUAGGUGAGCAAGUCAACUGAUGAAGCUUAUUGUCUUAAUACGGUAAACAAUCUCAAACUUUGCCUGCAAGAUUGCAGUUUGUCUCUUCAACUCAAGAUUUUGAUUCCGCAUGUUCUCUACUAUCAAUACUUGUUCUAGAGUACUGCACAGGAUUUUUCUGCUUCGACCAAUGCCAUGUCCUUGGACUUAGUUACUCUGUCGAUAACCAAUGCCACUGUUGUGCAAACAUCAGAUCAUACUUUAUUUAUUUUAUGUGUUACAAUUUUGUUUGUUGUUUACCAUUAUUAUUAUACACAUUAGAGCAAUAUUCUUUUAUGGUUA